CAGCCGCCACGGGAAUACGAAGGGUGCAAGCGUUAAUCGGAAUUACUGGGCGUAAAGCGUGCGUAGGCGGUUUGUUAAGUCUGUUGUGAAAUCCCCGGGCUCAACCUGGGAAUGGCAAUGGAUACUGGCAAGCUAGAGUGUGUCAGAGGAUGGUGGAAUUCCCGGUGUAGCGGUGAAAUGCGUAGAGAUCGGGAGGAACAUCAGUGGCGAAGGCGGCCAUCUGGGACAACACUGACGCUGAGGCUCGAAAGCGUGGGGAGCAAACAGGAUUAGAUACCCGAGAGUCCCUGUCUCUUAUACA
rnacentral:rRNA from 1 species